rnacentral:rRNA from 1 species
UACGGGGGGGGCAAACGUUGUUCGGAAUUACUGGGCGUAAAGGGCUCGUAGGCGGCCAACUAAGUCAGACGUGAAAUCCCUAGGCUCAACCUAGGAACUGCGUCUGAUACUGGAUGGCUUGAAUCCGGGAGAGGGAUGCAGAAUUCCAGGUGUAGCGGUGAAAUGCGUAGAUAUCUGGAGGAAUACCGGUGGCGAAGGCGGCAUCCUGGACCGGCAUUGACGCUGAGGAGCGAAAGCCAGGGGAGCAAACGGG